rnacentral:rRNA from 1 species
ACGGAAGGCAGCAGUGGGGAAUAUUGCACAAUGGGCGAAAGCCUGAUGCAGCAACGCCGCGUGAGUGAUGAAGUAUUUCGGUAUGUAAAGCUCUAUCAGCAGGGAAGAUAAUGACGGUACCUGACUAAGAAGCACCGGCUAAAUACGUGCCAGCAGCCGCGGUAAUACGUAUGGUGCAAGCGUUAUCCGGAUUUACUGGGUGUAAAGGGAGCGUAGGCGGAAGUUCAAGUCUGAUGUGAAAUCCCGAGGCUCAACCUCGGUGCUGCAUUGGAAACUGGACUUCUAGAGUGACAUAGGGGUAAGCGGAAUUCCUAGUGUAGCAGUGAAAUGCGUAGAUAUUAGGAGGAACACCAGAGGCGAAGGCGGCUUACUGGGUGUCAACUGACGCUGAGGCUCGAAAGCGUGGGGAGCAAACAGGAUUAGAUACCCUGGUA